rnacentral:rRNA from 1 species
AUUGAACGCUGGCGGCAUGCCUUACACAUGCAAGUCGAACGGCAGCGCGGGGCAACCUGGCGGCGAGUGGCGAACGGGUGAGUAACAUAUCGGAACAUACCCUAGAGUGGGGAUAACGUAGCGAAGUUACGCUAAUACCGCAUACGCACUAAGGUGGAAAGUGGGGGAGUUCGCAAGAACCUCAUGCUCAUGGAGUGGCCGAUAUCUGAUUAGCUAGUUGGUGAGGCAAAGGACUCACCAAGGCGACGAUCAGUAGCUGGUUUGAGAGAACGACCAGCCACACUGGAACUGAGACACGGUCCAGACUCCUACGGGAGGC